GCCCGGCUAGCUCAAUCGGUAGAGCGUGAGACUCUUAUUCUGUGGAGUUAUUAUCCUCUCACGGACUUUGGUUAUCUCAAGGCUGUGGGUUCGACCCCCACGUCGGGCU